rnacentral:rRNA from 1 species
UACGUAGGGGGCAAGCGUUGUCCGGAAUCAUUGGGCGUAAAGAGCGUGUAGGCGGUCCGGUAAGUCGGCUGUGAAAGUCCAGGGCUCAACCCUGGGAUGCCGGUCGAUACUGCCGGACUAGAGUUCGGAAGAGGCGAGUGGAAUUCCCGGUGUAGCGGUGAAAUGCGCAGAUAUCGGGAGGAACACCUAUGGCGAAAGCGCUCUGCUGGACUGCAACUGACACUCAGGGACGAAAGCUAGGGGAGCGAAUGGG